UUAUUAAGAUUAAUGAACAUAAGAUGAUUAAUGGAGGAAUUUCAAGAGAACUGAGUCACAAAAUCAUUUCAAAUCUGUCAAUCCAAAGCUAUUAAAUCCGCUCUUGAAAUGUAGACCGACCCCCUGGAACACGAAUCUGAAAUAUGGUUGAAAUUCUUAAAUAAGUGAUACCAAAUUCAUUAAUUUUAAAUUCAAAAUCCAAAAGCAACCUAAAAGUCUCACUUUGUUACCUGCAGGAUUUGACGGUGAAUCUGCUCAGAAAGCUUGCUGUGGGACAGGAGGUGACUACACUUUCAGCCUUGCAAGAUGUGUGGGCACCGGAGUCUCCAGUGUGCCGAACCUAAUCAAGUCAUCAGAUGGAUGGAGUCAUCUGACAGAAGCAGGUAUAAGAUCAGGCGGAUGGCUCAUCCAGACAUCUGCCCAAAACUUCAGUGCUCUGUUUAACUUAAUUUUGAAGUAUUAGUUUUACCAUAGAGAUAGCAAUUAGAAAAUACUUAUUCCUUAAGCAAGUCCAAUUGUGUUUUUAAGUCUUUCGUAGGUUUGUUAAAGAGUUGCUACUGAAAUUUUUAUAGAUGGAUUUUGUUUUGAAUAUAUUUAGAUUGCAGUGUUACAUAGAUGAAUACACAAAUUAGGGUUGCAGAUUCUCAUUUGAAUAGGACUACAAAUAUUUUUAUAACUGAAAGUUGUACCCUCCAAUGUGAAGAUUCCUCACAAGUACAUAGAAAAACCCCAUUUCCUUUUGUUCUUCAAAGUCAUAGAUAGCACUUGUGUCUGGUCUUUUCGGAUUUCUUAAGCUUGCUAAUUAAAUGUGUAAGAUGCUUGGACUUUGGCACUAGAUGAAUGUCAUAUGUCAUCAAAUAUUUCCUAAUGUUUCUUUGAUGCAUACAUAACAAGAUAAUACCCUCGAACUUUCCUAAUGUAAUUUCACCAUUAUAAUCAAACACAAACAGUACAUCUAGCUAGCUAGCUAGUAAAUUAUUUUGUCUUUCCGGAAACCUUUCUAUGUCAAUUUCAUCAAGCUAUUGAUUCAAUGAUCAAGUCGCCAUCUUCAUUCUUCAAAACAGAACUAGCUCAUGGACUCAAACAUUUUACAAAGAAAUUGAGUCUGUUAGGACUGAAUGAUUUUUCUAAACAAGCUUACCAAUUAUAGAACUAGGCCCGUUGGUAUGUGAAUCGAAACAAGGAGUGUGUUAACUUUGAUGCAUGGAAAAACAUUUGUAAAGAUAUGUGUAUAUAGUUUUAAAGAUUAAAUUGAGCUUAGAUACCAACAGGGGUUGGUGCAGCGGUAGAAACUCAGACUUGGUGGGACAAGGCAUGGGUUCGAGUCACCGCAGCUUCCUGUUGGGACUAAACCUACUCCUAUCACCAUCCGUGAUCAGUGGGCAAUGCUCCCUAACGGAGGUGACUGGGUACCAUACCAGUGCUGUUCUCUCCUGAGGUUUGUAUUUAAUUCAUAUUCUCUCCUCAUCUUCUAAAAAUUACAUUAACCUCUCCUGUUAGUAUGCGUCCCUCAACCAAAGUAACGAAGAAAAUAAAUUUCCAUUAUUACCCCUGCAUAAUCUAAUAAGUAGCCUUCUUUCUUUUUUCUAACCCUAUAAUCUCUCUCUCUACCAUAGAACUACUCCUAACUGACUAACUCAAAACCCUCCUCCAUCUCUCUCUCUUAUAGAACUCAAUAUAAAUGCACUUUGGGUGAUUGGGACUCCAGUGAGUGGUUGGAAAGCCUUGGCAUGGCUAUUGGAAGAAAUGAGCUGUGAGAGAAGUGUUAGGAGUAGAUUAAACGAAACCAUGGUUAUGGGACUCGUUGCGCGGCGGAUCAUGAUUCCGCUUUGGGGGAGCGUGGUGGUGUAUGGUGGUCGACCUACAUCUAUAACCUUAGCGCCCAACCACCACUACCCAAUACCCUUACGCAGCCCGUCGUCCCUCUCGCCACAACAAGCCAAAUUCGAACUCCAUGUUGGAAAAUAUAUGGGUUUGGGUCAACUUUAGAGUUUAGAGCAAUAAAAAAAAGUGGGUCUCAUAAUUAUUUUGGGUAAACUCAAUUUGAUAUAUAUUCUAUUAAAUAUGGUAAAUAAAUUUAAUUAAAAAUUUUGCCAAAAAUAUAGCAAGAAGUGAAUGAAAAUUAGCUUCAAAAUUAGUUGCUUCAAAAAAAUUCAUCGGUUGAUCAAAAUUUUAUAAUUUUUUUGUUUUACUUGACAAGAGAAAUAUGAAAAUAUAAAAAGUUUGUUCAUAUUUGCAAACUAAUUGACUUAGCCAAAAAAAUAGCUAAUUUGUAGAAUAAAAAUAAUAUUUUUUUAUUUUUUUAUUUUUAGUGAUUAUUAGCUUUUGAUUAAAUUUUUAACUUUUUCCAUUCCACUUGACUAGAGAAAUAUAAAAUAUAAAAAUCUUGUUGAAAUUAUCAAAAAAUCCCGUAGAACAAAAAAAUUAAAUAAUUUGUCGAGUAUAAAUAAUUUUUUUUGAGUUUUUCCAUUAUUAGUGAAAUUUUUUCAUUAUUUGAUCA
rnacentral:lncRNA from 1 species